rnacentral:lncRNA from 1 species
UUUUUGCACCUCCCAUGGAAGCUUGCUUUGAAACUUCCAUAAAUUUCCUUGAGUUAACCCCGAUUUUCAUGUUUUUGUGCACCCUUUCACAAAGUUCUUUGUGCUCUUUUACUUUUUCACCAUAAAACCCUCAAAAACCUUUCCUUAUUACACUCUCUCACUAGCUGGACGUUCUAGAGAGAGAAAGUGAGAUUUUCAUGAUAGUUUGAAAGC